GAGUUUGAUCGUGGCUCAGAUUGAACGCUGGCGGCAUGCCUUACACAUGCAAGUCGAACGGCAGCAUGAUCUAGCUUGCUAGAUUGAUGGCGAGUGGCGAACGGGUGAGUAAUACAUCGGAACGUGCCCUGUAGUGGGGGAUAACUAGUCGAAAGAUUAGCUAAUACCGCAUACGACCUGAGGGUGAAAGUGGGGGACCGCAAGGCCUCAUGCUAUAGGAGCGGCCGAUGUCUGAUUAGCUAGUUGGUGGGGUAAAGGCCCACCAAGGCGACGAUCAGUAGCUGGUCUGAGAGGACGAUCAGCCACACUGGGACUGAGACACGGCCCAGGCUCCUACGGGAGGCAGCAGUGGGGAAUUUUGGACAAUGGGCGGAAGCCUGAUCCAGCAAUGCCGCGUGUGUGAAGAAGGCC
rnacentral:rRNA from 1 species